GAAAGUAGUGGUGCUCAAAUACAUUGGCACAAAAGAACAAACAACAUACAUUCUUACCAAGCCACUUCAUAGAGUGAAGUUUUGUUAUUUUCGAGAUAACCUUGGUAUUGUAGAGAAUGUUGCUCUUGUUGAGAGAGAAUCUUAGCUUCAAUGAUUGUUUUUAUAUAUGUAUGUUGAUUAACGAGUUCUUCUUUGUGAGAUAGAAGUUCGAGGUGAAAUCCCUUGUAAUGCAUUUUUCUCUGCGAUGGAGAAAUUUGAGGUGAAAGCCCUUGAGGCUCUUUUCACUUAUGGGGGGGUAGCCAUAGUGGAUGUCAUGUUGAGAGACUCCAUGACAACAUCACGUUGAGUGACUCUGUGAUGAGAGCUUGUGUUAUUUCACCUAUGGGAGUAGCCAUGGUGAACAUCAUGUUGAGUGAAUCCAUGAUGCCUAUCACAUUGAGAGAAUUGGUGAUUAAAUUUUGUUGUUUUCAUAUUCUUUGUUUAUCACGUUGAGAGAAUCCGUGAUAAAAUUUUGUUGAUUGUCAUGUUGAGAGACUCCAUGACUUGAAUAUCUGUUAAUGAUAUCUUUUUCAUUAAGAGGGAGUGUUAAAGAUGGUAACUUCAGCAAAUAUCAUGCCUGCCGUAUUUAUGGAUUUUUUCGAGCUCUAUUUUUGAUUCACCUCACCGUUUGUGAAAGUUGGAAAAUGUUUCGAUGUUGUUCUACAUAUGUCACUGCACUUCGAAGACCUUGUUGCUAUCACCACCUUUGUAUUAGUUGGAAAACCGUUUCUUUUCUCUCACUUAAGUUCGCCAGUUUGUUAUGUGUGUCGGUGUGUAACUAACAUCGGUCUUUAUGAUUUACUUUCCGCCUUCUUCUUCUUGGCUCUAUAGGGUCUUGAGAUAUGUUAUUUAUUCCUUUGUCGUGGGUCAUUUAGAAGAUGAUUGAUAUUCUUUGAAGGAUCUUGUGCAGCGACUUUGUAUCUGCUCUUAUUUUCUGAGAUGGUCAUUUAUGUACAACAGUGAACAUUGAUGUGUGAAGAUUCACUCUAUUAGCAUCUUCUUCCAAGUAUUUUAUAAGCAGUUUUUUUUUCUAAUAGUCUAUUUUGAACAUUAUCAAUCAUUGUUAAAUGAUUGUCUUCUAAGUGCGAGAGUUAUGUACUUAUUUUGAGCUUUCAAUAAAAUCUAGUUUUGGUGUGGCUGGGUUUUUCACCCUCAGGUGGAGGGUUUUCCUAGGAUAAUUUGUUGUCGUCUUGUUCCCUUAAGUUUUCUUAGGUUCUUUUAUUUGUAUUUAUAGCUUUCUGGUUCUAAUUUUAACACUGAUAACUUGGUUAUUUUGUUAGUUAUGGGCAAAAACAUAUCCUGGAUCAAAUUUGCAACUUGAGAUAAUAUCAGAGUAGUGUAGUGGAAGUGAAUUGAUGAUGGAUUUUUAUAAAAUGCAAAUAUAGAAGCUGCGAAGACCAAGCCAUUUCGAAUUGAAGAUCAUUCCAAACACUCUCUCAAUGAUCUUUGCUUGAGGACGAGCAAUCUUGGGAAGGGUGGAGUGUCAUGUACCCCACAAGUGUAUGUGUCAUGCCCUAUCAUAAGUAGGUACCGUAAUAAAAAAACUUAUUAAAUACUAGUUGGGCAGCCUUUUUGUAAAUGCUACUCGGCUACCUUAAUUAAUUCUAGUUGGCAAUUAAGUAAUGAUUACAUCAAACUUGAAAGAGGACAUCGAUUUCUUGCAGGAUCGUAUCUCUCCAAACUAAAAGGUCAUGACCACCUGCAAAUGAAGAUAUAAAAGUAGGAUUUCCAUUGGGUAAAAAGGAUGGUGAGGAAUGAGAUCUGAUUGAAUAAAAUGCAGAAAUAGCAGAUAAGAAGAUCAACAUGUGAACUAAGUAAAUUAUAGAAAUGUAAGAGAGCAAUAGAAUUAUUCCAGCUUUGAAUUCGAAUGAUUAUUUACUGCAUUUUUUUUAUCUAAAAUAUAAGAUAGGUUGAAUCUGCUAAAAAGGGGAACAAGAAGUUAAGAGAUCGAUUAAGCAAGUGAGAUCUUAUAUUCAUUAUAAGAUCUCAAUUAUAUUAUCAAGCAGUAAUAAUCUAAAACUAUAUGACAAUAUGAUAUAGAGGAAAAACAUUAUAUUCCUGUAGCAGUAAUUUAAGAUAGUUUGAAUCUGCUAAAAAGGGGAACAAGAAGUUAAGAGAUCGAUUGAGCAAGUGAGAUCUUAUAUUCAUUAUAAGAUCUCAAUUAUAUUAUUAAGCAGUAAUAAUCUAAAACUAUAUGACAAUAUGAUAUAGAGGAAAAAUAUUAUAUUCCUGUAGCAAUUGGUAUGCUAUAUGUUUAGUCCUAUGUUUGUUAGUUUGAGAAUUUAGUGAUGUAUUUAUUUAUUUAAGUAAUUAUGCAUUUGAUUUUUGUAAGGCAAUCAUAAUAAGAAUUGCAAGGUAACAUAAUAGGGAGGUGCAGGAGUAUGGGCCUCCUCAAUUAAUAAGUCCACCCAUUGAUUUGGUACUUGUGGGGCAAGGUGUUGAAUUGUUGUGGUUAGAUGUUCAGCACCCUAUCGUGCUUUCCCCUCAAGUGUCUGAUGUGGUUUAUCCUUAGUAAUAAGUUAUAAUGUGCAUUUUUUCAAUAAGAGUUUCAUCAUUACUUUGCUUCAUGUUAAUUAGUUAUUUAUCCAAAUUCAAUUUGUAGUGUAAGAAUACUUUUGUAAGUAGUAUUAUUGGUAUUGUUAUUUUUGGGCAAAAUUCAAGUAAAUCCCAAAGGGGCACAUUACAACUUGUGCCUUUGCUGAUCCAGUGUGUUCGUGGGUUGUGAACUGUUGCGGCAUUCAUGCUGAUGAUUUCACGUGUGUUCAUGUCUGUGUCAGGCCCUCGCUGGACUGACGUGCUUGUAGGCUCCAUGCCCCUGCUGUGCUAUUGUGCUCACAGGUUUGGGCUGUUAUGCGUUCAUGUUGGGAAUUAGGUCACUCGAUUGUGGCUUCACUAGUUCGUAGCUCUAGUUCAAAAGUGUUCUUUGAAAAACAAUAAAAAAUAAAAAAUGAUGUUAUACUUGUAACCUAAAAACAUUGAAUUUGGCCUAUUGUUUAUGAAGUUUUCAAUUGUGAUGAUACAACAUGCAAAAUUGAAGACUAUCCUUUGAAUGGAUGCCUAACAUUCAGAAGUUGGACCUUCCAUUGGAGGGGGCAUAUCUCAUGGACUCAUGAAGGAAGAUUGUUGCAUACAGACCGUUGUGCGUUGCACACGCUCCCUGUCGCCGACAGGGUCCCCCUCUUCUUUUUUGGUCUUUUCGCCUUCGCCCUGUUGAGUCCUGCGCAAGGUAUCUCGCGUCCUUUUUGAAUGUGCCCGUAAUCAGUCCAGGGGAUGAUGAUGUCAUGGGUGGAAGCUCGGGAAUCCGCAAGAUGAGUUUAACGUUCGGGCGUUAAAAUUUUAAGAGAUCGUUUAAACUUGUAAAAUCGCCUAAGUUAGGUAAGGAAUGGCAGAAGCUUGCAAAAUCCCCCAAAUAAAAAAUGAAACGUCUAAAGGUCGCAGAAGGACCCAAAGUGCCGAUUUUCGCCGAAGGGAUAUAGAAGGAAGAAAAAAUUGUUAAAGUGUCAAAAGUUGACAAAACCUCCCAAAAUCCUGAAAUCCGCACUAAGGGGGAAAAUUACAAGAGUUUGAAAAAGUUUGCAAAAUAGGUGAAAAUCCCGAUUUUCGCCAAUCAGGGGUAAAUUAAAAAGGAGUUUUUAAAGUUUUCAAGACCUAAAACUCUGAAAUUUGCAUUAGAAGGCGUAAAGUGCGAAACAUAAAAAGUUUGCGAAGACCACUAAAACUCCGAAGUUGUCUAAGGCAAAAAUGUCAAAAGUUUUAAAAGAAUUUCCAAAAUACUCUAAAUCUCUGAACUUUGCAAACCUCCUCCAAACCCCGAAAAUCGCAUUCCAAGGGUAAGUGAAAGAAAUGAAAAGUUUGAAAAAGUUCUCCAAACCUCGAAAUCGCAAUCCAAAGGGAUAAGUGAAAGAAAAUGAAACUUUGCAAACCUCUUCCAAGCGCCAAAAAUUGCAUUCCGAGGGUAAAUCGUGAUAUAAAGUUUGCAAAUAGCUUAAAAAUGCCGAAAUUUGAAAAGGCCCACCAAAAUCGCGAUUUUUGGUAAGUUGUAAAAAUUUAAAACUUGCAGAAUGUUCUAUUUUGCCGAAGUUCGGCCACUGGUGCGAAAGUCGCGAUUUUUAUAAAGGUUGAAAAGGCGUAGGUAUUAAGGAGUUAAAACUUUGCAGAAAGCAAUAGAAAUGCCGAAGUUCGCCCUAUAAGGUAAGAUCGCGACUUGUUUAUGAACCUUGCAACCAUGUCCAAAAUCCCAAAGUAAGGAAAAUCGCGGAAGGAGUAGAGUUUGCAAGAUCCAAAUCGCCAAAGUUUGCAUAAAGCUCUCAAACCCCGAAAUUGCGCCUAGAAGUAAAAUCGCAAUUUUUGGUAAUUGUUAGAAGUUUUAAAAGUUUUCACAAACUCCCCCCCUGCAUAUGUCGAAGUUCGCCAUAGGGCAAAAUUGCGAAGUUCGAAGUUUAAGGAAAACGCUAUUAACCCAUUCUCAACGCCAUAGUAAUCGGAGGAGUUUGAAGUUUGCUUAGAGGAAAAAAUCCCAAGACGCCAUAGAGGAGGGAAAACACAAAGUUUAUAGUUUAAAAAUAUUGCAAUACUCCCGAAAUUUACCACUAAAAUUGCAAAGAGCUUGCAGCAGGAGUCAAAAUCGCUGAAGUUCCGUUCAAGGUAAGUUGCUAAAUCUAAGUCUUCAAAAUUGCAUUCUCCUCCAAACUUAGGCGCGAAAUAAGAGACAUAGAGUUAACCGUUAAAAUUUGAAAUUGCAGAACUCUCCCAUUCCAAAUUUGCAAGUUGUGCAUUUGUCUUUUCAAAAGCAUAGGGGAUAAGAGAGGCAUUUUUCAAAAUUCAAAGGAAAUCAUUCCUACAGGCCAGAUUGUGCGGAUUGACACCAUUUAUUUUGCCAGGUAAGUUUGCUUUGUCUCUCUUAGAAUCGUUUAAAAUGUAUGCAAAAUUGGAUAGAUGUGUUUACACAAAAUUGAUUAAAUGAUUAAAUCCUUAAACCCCAUCUUUUCCCGUUUGAAAGGCAUCAGGCAAAGCAAUUAAAAUCAGAGUCUGUUCCUAGGAGUUAACCAAGAACGCAUUUCUCAAACUUAGGGAAUCUUAAAACUCAUCCAUUUUUGAAAAUUGAUCCUAAAUGUCUAAGUGUAAAUUUAACAGUCGAAACCGCCUAAGUCCUUGAACCGCAACCGAAUAAGUAAAUUUGUAAUCAAAGAGCUUCAUAAUGUUCAUGUUCAAAUUAAUCAAGCUCUUUAGCUGAAGUAUCAUGCUUUCUUCAAAAUUUUGUUUUUCAAUUAAUCCUUGUGUGCUAACGUAUCCCUUUUAUCUAACCCGCUUUGUUUCCUUCAUCUCGUCUCGUAAUCCACGUCCGGCUGUGCAGGAUAGAUGCCUAAAUUUGCGGUAGAGUCCUCAAAGACAUCUGGUGCAGUCGAAACGUCCCGAGCAUCCAAGUCAGACAUCCCUCGUAGACUCGAAAAGAUGAAAUAUCAGUAUCAGAGAGGGGGAUUGAGGGAAUCAAAAGUUCAAAGCAUAUGGGAAAAUGUAGGUGAUACUGACCUAGGCCACAUUGAUAUUCAAGAUUUCAGAGACGGAGUUUUCUCCCCUAUGCCUAUGGCAGGUCUCUGCAGAUGAUGGAAAGUGGCAUCGCCUAGGCAGUAGGAUUUCCCCCGUCAGUGCAAAAUUUUAGCCCGACAUUACCAACUAAACACCAGAUUGGUGCUCCUUGAGAAUAUGGUCCUCGCUGACUUCACUCCUGAGGCCAUUGGCGACGCAUUUGACAUCCCCUUCCCGAACAACCCCAUAGCAACAACUAUAGAUGAAGCACAAGUGGCGUAUGAUAUGAACCCUGCCAAAUGCAGAAUAUUGAUAAAUGAGGAGUAGUACAAGGAGAGAAGACCUCCAAGCAUCAGAAUCGGGAAAAAGACCCCCAGAAACGACUUUCACAAUGAGCAUGGAGAUAUGGUCACAUUGCUCAGCAGGGUUAUGGGACUACCCCAAUCUAACUACUUUGAAGAGUGGAUCUUUUACUUUAUAGAUUAGGUCUUUGCUGGGAAAUCCAAGUUCGACUGGGCCCAGAUCAUAAGUGACAACAUCCAUACCUAGUUGGUCGAACUUGAGGAGAAAAAGUACUUUACCAUGACAUCCUAUCUAGUCUAUAUUUUCGCCAGAAACCAACCACUGCCAGGUUUAAUCAUGACGGGUGAAAUUGGGAAUGGGCCCAAUCACGUGAACGUAUAUGAUUCCUACUCACAAUUACAUUAUCAGGACAUAUCUCAAAGGGAAAAGAACAGCCCUGCCUAUGUAGUUGGUCAGUAUGAGCGUAUCAAUUACGCCUUCACAAUGCACCUGGUCAGGUUGAUGCAAGCGGGACUACACAUAAGGCUUUUAGAGCAAGCUACCAUUCUGGUACAGAGGUAUGGCGCCUGGUUCAUUCAGUUCCCAAGAUUCUCCUACAUCUGAAUAGCUGGCUUUGAGGGCGCUCCUUUCCGACUUCCGGAAUAUCCAACCGACAAAAUAGUUCUUCUGGAAGUUGCAAGGUAGGCACGUCCGGUGAACAGUUUACUCAAAGACAAGAAGCAGUCUAGAUUCGCCUUCCCUAUUAUUAUAGGUAACCUUGAUGUCCAUUUGAAAAAUCCAGCUCACGCCGAAUAAUCCCUUGCUGAGCUAGCCUCCUAUGGAUUACAGGAACAUUUCCCAAGGAAAUGUUUUGAUCAUGACAAUUUGGCGAAGAGAGCCUACGGUAUGCGCUACAGAGCAAAGGAGUCAGUUGAAGAUUAUUGGAAGAAUUGCUUUGACGACUACGAAGUUUGACGACGCGAAUAUUCAAGGCCGAGUGUACAACAAAUGCGACUCUAUGAAUAUCGUCGGGUCGCGGAUCAGGUAACGGAUUCUGGAAAUUGCUUAUAAGUCCGAGAAUUUGAGACAAUAAGACAUCUCUUGCCAGGCAUCGAUUGGUCAUAGGAUCCAAUCACUGAUUUUGAGGCAGUCAUGGCAACCCCAGGGAGGCACAUUGAUCAGUGGUUGCACCAACAGAUUGAGCGGCUGAUUCAUGAGGGAGUCCAAUUCACCUACCACAUGAUGGGUAGCCUUGAUUCUCAGUCCUCUGAAGAUGAGGGAACCUCGAGUGUACCUAAGCAAGAGGUUGAAAAGCCCGAAAAAAGGAAGAAGGCUAAAGCCAGUAGAGGGACUCAAACAUCUAAAAGGACAAGAAGGGAGAAGAUCCCUAUAAGGAGACCGGAGGUCACUUCAUCAUCAAAAGACCCUAGUUCAUCUGAUGAUGUAAUAGAACUAGAUUAUAUACUUGCUCCGCCUUCCCAGAGCGAUAUUGAUGCAUUCGGAGCUGAUGAUCCUCUUGCACAAGACAUGCUAAAUGGAGAGGUGAGGGUCAUUGAGUCUGCCGAACCUGAGAAUCAAGUGGAGGAAGGAGAAAUUCCAUCCACUCAAGGGCUUGAGGUGCAUGAACCCAUCCAAGGGAGCCGCCAUGAAUUAAAACUGCAUAGUACCGCCAAGGAUGACUCCACUGUUGAAGGAGAGCAAAGGACAGAUGAGACCUGCGAGCCUGAAAGGACUGAAGAACAACCAUCACAUUAAGAUACUAGACAAUUGUUCAGCGAAGUAGGAGAGAAUUCAGCUGCGAGCGAAGGACUUGACACUUCCUCCACUCCUCUUGUGAUAGAGCAGCUGCAGAUAUGCAAUGAACCAGCUGAAGGCAUUAAGGAGCAGAGUGGGAAUUUAACCAUAGCAUCAGGGCAAACCAUACCUCAAGAUUGGUUAGUUGCUCGAGCUCAGCGAAAGGCAACCACCAAACCACCUGUCGACUUGGAGGACAUUUUCUCGCGCAUAGGUGAAGCAAAGUCUAAAGGGAAGAAAAAGCCUAAAGCAUAUUCCCGGAUAACCAAAGAUGAACAAAGGAACCGUACCCUCCAUUUUGCCGGUAAAUUACAUUCAGACAUUGUGCGUUUUGAGGUUUAUUGGUCCAGUUGGCAAGAUGGUUUAAAACACGUAGAUCGUCAUCUGGAAGGCAUCCAAUAUAAGAUAUGUCACCCCCCUAUGCCUCAGUUCACAGUGCUAUUCUAGCUUUGCAUUAGGUUUCAAGAGUAUGUUCGUGAAGAACGUGCAGCAGGUCGGGACCUUUGGAAUGAGUAUUUGCAUGGCGAGGAUCAAUUUUUAGUAAAGGGAUAUGCAGUUGGAAUGGAAAAAGUGCUUUCUUAAAAUGCAUUUUUCUUUUAAAUUUGAAAAAGCACUUUUUGGCCAAAAGUUCAUAGUUGACUGCCAAGUCAGUUGUAAACUUUAAACUCUGUGCAUAUGCACGUUUUGAAUUGUUAUGGAUAGUUUUUAAUUACCUUUUUUAGGUAGUUAUUGCUCCCCUUUGGGUGGUUGCUGAUAUUUACCUUCUAUUUAUGGGUAUGGGUAGCUUUUGUACAGAUGAAUCUGGGCCACUUGUUUAGUUUAAAUCUUGGCCAUUCAUCUAUUUUGUGGAAAUCUAUUUAAAGGGACUGGUUUUCCCUUAUUUUUGGAAGAAGUUCAAGGAUUGUUGUUCAAGCUCUGGCGAAAUUUACACAGGAUUAAUGGAAAAUUAAGGCUGUUUUCAUUUCUUUGUGAGUGCAUGGUCUCCUUCUUCACCAUUUAAAUUAUUUUGUUAUGUCUUUUAUUUUUCAAUAGAAUUUUUAGGAUAAACAUCUGAUAGAAUCCUCGUUGUUCAUACCAUUAAGGACUGACUGAUUGUCAUUCCCUUUGCAUGGUUAAUCUGAACCCUCUCAUAUGCUCAGUUCGAUUAUUAAACAAUUAGUGAAUGCAUGUUAAAAUUCAGAAUUUAUGUUUAAUAGCAUGAAAAUCUAGUUUUCCUUGAAGAUCGCACUAGAUUCUUACAAACAUUGUGCUUAAAUAGUUGAUAGUGUUAAAUCUGGUUAUUUGGAGGUGUUUGUCUGUUUUUCUUGAACAUGCUAUCUUAGUUACGUAAUUAGAUUUUCUGUAUCUCUUUUCCCUAUCCCUCCUUUUUCCUUUUUUUUUACUAAGAAGAAACCCACAGUCCAGUUGAAUUAGUAUCAAUCCAACUGAAAUCAACCGAUAACGAGACUGUUAAAUUUCAGGGAACUCACUCGAAAGUUAUUCAUCUCACCGUAAGUCCCCUUUGUGUUUCUAGCAAAACACAUCAAAUUACUGAGUAAUCCUGAAGUCAAGACCUGACAAUCAAAACCUUGAGGUCAUCCCCUUUGAUCAAACAAGAAACAGCAUUAGGGAUUUCCUUAUCUCAAGAGAGGAUAGGAUACUUAGCGAGUACAUUCUAUUCUGCGUUGGCUGGAUGGAGUCGUAGCAAUGCGAUUUCAGACACGUCAACACAGACUAAGAGUUUGCAACUUCUACUACGCCUUUAUUUUCGUAAUGGUCUCAUUUUUCCUAAUUUGAUUUUUCAAAAUAGAGGCUAGCCCAAAUUUUUUAUUUUAAAUGAAGAAACUGAAUCAGUUAAACAUAGCUAGUACAAGUUAUUAAACAAGUGUACAAGAAUAGUCUAGGAAAACAGAGUCAUAGAUUUUAAAUAUUAAUAUUCAGUAAAUGUGUUGUUAAUAUUUGACCUUUAUCUAGCUCUCUAGCUAAUGUUUCUAUCUACACAUCUCCUCUCCAUACACAUAUUGAAUAAUGGUAUACUUGUACCCUAAAUUUUUUGAAUUUGGGGUGUUAUGCGUUUAUGUUGGGAAUUAGGUCACUUGAUUGUGGCUUCACUAGCUUGGAGCUCUAGUUCAAAAGUGUUUAUUGAAAAAAAAAAUAAAUAAAAAUAAUAAUAUUUUACUUGUAACCUGAAUUUGGCCUAUUGUUUAUGAAGUUUUCAAUUGCGAUGAUUCAACAUGCAGAAUCGAAGACUAUCCUUUGAAUGGAUGCCUGACAUUCAGAAGUUGGGCCUUCCAUUGGAGGGGGCAUAUCUCAUGGAUUCACGAAGGAAGAUUGUUGCAUACAGACUGAGAGUUUGCAACUUCUGCUACGCCUAUAUUUUCUUUUCAUGUUUGAUGGUUUUGACAUGACGAACUGAAGGGUUUGACAUGCCACAUGGAGGAGAUCUAUCUCAUGGAUUCAUGAAGGAAGAUUAUUGCAGGCUAGAUUCAGAGUUUGCAACUUCUACUACACCCAAAUUCUCUUAAUGGGGUUGGACAUGGCACAUGGAGGGCACCUAUCUCAUGGAUUCAUGAAGGAAGAUUGUUGCAUACCAGAUUGAGAGUUCGUAAUUACUACAGCCAUAUUUUCUUAAUGGGGCUGGACCUGCCACAUUCAUGACAUUUAUAUCAUGGAUUCAUCACUGCAAAUGGACGAGUAUCUGGUUGCUACCCUGCUUAGGCAAAACCUCAUGACUGCAGGUGCUAAAGUAUAUCCUCAAGACAUUGACAAUGCUCACUUUUGUGAGGGGAGUUGUAAGGCCUUGCUUGUAAUGAACGUUUUGGGAUAACUUUUUGACCUUCCAUGAUUGCUAUCGACAUGGAACAUGCAAUUCAACUGAAAUCUGUGAUUGUGAACUGGGUCAUACACGGACUGACUGUUUAACUGGUGUGAUCCAUUCAUUUAAUAUUUUUUCAUGACUACUCUCUUUUUAGCACGAUCUUUGUCAUAUGGUGCAUGUAGCAACUAAACCAUGGUUUUAUUUAUGCAAACAAAGCUCUUAAAAUUUCCAAUUAACGAACACUGCCCUCUUUUCUUACAUUAAAUAAUCUAGGCCUUUGACAAAUUGUGUUCAUUUGCUGCUGGAUGUAAUUAGAAAAUGCAGCUUACAUGGAGACAUUUGUGAUAAUUUUAACGCUUUUAUAAGGUGCAAGGGGUAAGCAUGUGGCCAUAUGUUGUUGGAGCAUUGUGCAGUUUGAGAAGGUUAAGGCCAGGGCCCUAUGGAGCUACUAUUUGAAGGUGCAAGGGGUAAGCAUGUGGCCAUAUGUUGUUGGAGCAUUGUGCAGUUUGAGAAGGUUAAGGCCAGGGCCCUAUGGAGCUACUAUUUGAAGGGAUUGGACCCAUAGCACGAAGGGCAUCUAUAUCAUGGAUUCACGAAGCAAGAUUGUUACAAACCAGACUGAGAGUUUGCAACUUCUACUACAUCCAUAUUUUCUUAAUAGUCUCCUUUUUGCCCAUUUGGUUUUCAAAUAUUGAGGCUCAGCUCAAAAAAAUUAUUUUAAAUGAAAAAAUUGAAUCAAGUACACAAACCUUGUACAAGAAGUUAUUAAAUAGUGCAGAAAAACAGUCUAGGAAAAUAGAGAGUGAUAUUUUUUAAUAUUCAGUAAAUGGAUUGUUAAUAUUUGGCUAUUAUCUAGCUCUCUAGCUAAUUUUGCUAUCUACACAUCU